rnacentral:rRNA from 1 species
CCUACGGGGGGCUGCAGUGGGGAAUUUUGCGCAAUGGGCGAAAGCCUGACGCAGCAACGCCGCGUGGGUGAUGAAGGUCUUCGGAUCGUAAAACCCUGUCGUCAGGGACGAAGGUUGCAUGUCGAAUAGAUGUGCAGCUUGACGGUACCUGGAGAGGAAGCCCCGGCUAACUCUGUGCCAGCAGCCGCGGUAAUACAGAGGGGGCAAGCGUUAUUCGGAGUUAUUGGGCGUAGAGAUGGCGUAGGCAUGGGGAAUCCCCGGGCGUAACUUGGGAACUGCAUCUCAGACUGGGUCGCUAGAGUACUGGAGAGGGUGGUAGAAUUCCACGUGUAGCGGUGAAAUGCGUAGAGAUGUGGAGGAAUACCAGUGGCGAAGGCGGCCACCUGGACAGUAACUGACGCUGAGGCGCGAAAGUGUGGGGAGCAAACAGGAUUAGAUACCCCUGUAGUC